UCAUUAGGCAGGUGAAAUAGUCAUAAG
rnacentral:piRNA from 1 species